rnacentral:rRNA from 5 species
GGUUAAGCGACUAAGCGUACACGGUGGAUGCCCUGGCAGUCAGAGGCGAUGAAGGACGUGCUAAUCUGCGAAAAGCGUCGGUAAGGUGAUAUGAACCGUUAUAACCGGCGAUGUCCGAAUGGGGAAACCCAGUGCAAUUCGUUGCACUAUCGUUAACUGAAUACAUAGGUUAACGAGGCGAACCGGGGGAACUGAAACAUCUAAGUACCCCGAGGAAAAGAAAUCAACCGAGAUUCCCCCAGUAGCGGCGAGCGAACGGGGAGCAGCCCAGAGUCUGAAUCAGCUUGUGUGUUAGUGGAACGGUCUGGAAAGUCCGACGGUACAGGGUGAUAGUCCCGUACACCAAAAUGCACAGGCUGUGAACUCGAAGAGUAGGGCGGGACACGUGGUAUCCUGUCUGAAUAUGGGGGGACCAUCCUCCAAGGCUAAAUACUCCUGACUGACCGAUAGUGAACCAGUACCGUGAGGGAAAGGCGAAAAGAACCCCGGCGAGGGGAGUGAAAAAGAACCUGAAACCGUGUACGUACAAGCAGUGGGAGCACCUUCGGGUGUGACUGCGUACCUUUUGUAUAAUGGGUCAGCGACUUAUAUUCUGUAGCAAGGUUAACCGUAUAGGGGAGCCGCAGGGAAACCGAGUCUUAACUGGGCGUUAAGUUGCAGGGUAUAGACCCGAAACCCGGUGAUCUAGCCAUGGGCAGGUUGAAGGUUGGGUAACACUAACUGGAGGACCGAACCGACUAAUGUUGAAAAAUUAGCGGAUGACUUGUGGCUGGGGGUGAAAGGCCAAUCAAACCGGGAGAUAGCUGGUUCUCCCCGAAAGCUAUUUAGGUAGCGCCUCGUGAACUCAUCUUCGGGGGUAGAGCACUGUUUCGGCUAGGGGGUCAUCCCGACUUACCAACCCGAUGCAAACUACGAAUACCGAAGAAUGUUAUCACGGGAGACACACGGCGGGUGCUAACGUCCGUCGUGAAGAGGGAAACAACCCAGACCGCCAGCUAAGGUCCCAAAGUCAUGGUUAAGUGGGAAACGAUGUGGGAAGGCACAGACAGCCAGGAUGUUGGCUUAGAAGCAGCCAUCAUUUAAAGAAAGCGUAAUAGCUCACUGGUCGAGUCGGCCUGCGCGGAAGAUGUAACGGGGCUAAACCAUGCACCGAAGCUGCGGCAGCGACACUAUGUGUUGUUGGGUAGGGGAGCGUUCUGUAAGCCUGCGAAGGUGUGCUGUGAGGCAUGCUGGAGGUAUCAGAAGUGCGAAUGCUGACAUAAGUAACGAUAAAGCGGGUGAAAAGCCCGCUCGCCGGAAGACCAAGGGUUCCUGUCCAACGUUAAUCGGGGCAGGGUGAGUCGACCCCUAAGGCGAGGCCGAAAGGCGUAGUCGAUGGGAAACAGGUUAAUAUUCCUGUACUUGGUGUUACUGCGAAGGGGGGACGGAGAAGGCUAUGUUAGCCGGGCGACGGUUGUCCCGGUUUAAGCAUGUAGGCUGAUUGUCCAGGCAAAUCCGGAUAAUCAAGGCUGAGGUGUGAUGACGAGGCACUACGGUGCUGAAGUAACAAAUGCCCUGCUUCCAGGAAAAGCCUCUAAGCAUCAGGUAACAUCAAAUCGUACCCCAAACCGACACAGGUGGUCAGGUAGAGAAUACCAAGGCGCUUGAGAGAACUCGGGUGAAGGAACUAGGCAAAAUGGUGCCGUAACUUCGGGAGAAGGCACGCUGGUGUGUAGGUGAAGUCCCUGCGGAUGGAGCUGAGACCAGUCGAAGAUACCAGCUGGCUGCAACUGUUUAUUAAAAACACAGCACUGUGCAAACACGAAAGUGGACGUAUACGGUGUGACGCCUGCCCGGUGCCGGAAGGUUAAUUGAUGGGGUUAUCCGUAAGGAGAAGCUCUUGAUCGAAGCCCCGGUAAACGGCGGCCGUAACUAUAACGGUCCUAAGGUAGCGAAAUUCCUUGUCGGGUAAGUUCCGACCUGCACGAAUGGCGUAAUGAUGGCCAGGCUGUCUCCACCCGAGACUCAGUGAAAUUGAACUCGCUGUGAAGAUGCAGUGUACCCGCGGCAAGACGGAAAGACCCCGUGAACCUUUACUAUAGCUUGACACUGAACAUUGAGCCUUGAUGUGUAGGAUAGGUGGGAGGCUUUGAAGCGUGGACGCCAGUCUGCGUGGAGCCAACCUUGAAAUACCACCCUUUAAUGUUUGAUGUUCUAACGUUGGCCCCUGACCGGGGUUGCGGACAGUGUCUGGUGGGUAGUUUGACUGGGGCGGUCUCCUCCCAAAGCGUAACGGAGGAGCACGAAGGUUAGCUAAUCCUGGUCGGACAUCAGGAGGUUAGUGCAAUGGCAUAAGCUAGCUUGACUGCGAGCGUGACGGCGCGAGCAGGUGCGAAAGCAGGUCAUAGUGAUCCGGUGGUUCUGAAUGGAAGGGCCAUCGCUCAACGGAUAAAAGGUACUCCGGGGAUAACAGGCUGAUACCGCCCAAGAGUUCAUAUCGACGGCGGUGUUUGGCACCUCGAUGUCGGCUCAUCACAUCCUGGGGCUGAAGUAGGUCCCAAGGGUAUGGCUGUUCGCCAUUUAAAGUGGUACGCGAGCUGGGUUUAGAACGUCGUGAGACAGUUCGGUCCCUAUCUGCCGUGGGCGCUGGAGAAUUGAGGGGGGCUGCUCCUAGUACGAGAGGACCGGAGUGGACGCAUCACUGGUGUUCGGGUUGUCAUGCCAAUGGCACUGCCCGGUAGCUAAAUGCGGAAGAGAUAAGUGCUGAAAGCAUCUAAGCACGAAACUUGCCCCGAGAUGAGUUCUCCCUGAGACUUUAAGUCUCCUGAAGGAACGUUAAAGACGAUGACGUUGAUAGGCCGGGUGUGUAAGCGCAGCGAUGCGUUGAGCUAACCGGUACUAAUGAACCGUGAGGCUUAACCUUAC